rnacentral:lncRNA from 12 species
CCGAAAGUCAAGCUUAAGCGCCCGGCCUAGCCCGGGAGGCCCCAGGGGCGCCGAGCCCCGCUCCCGGACUCCCCGGCCGGCUCCUCCAGCCGCCCCCGUCGCCUCCGCCAUCGCGCCCCCCGCCGCCACAUGCACUCCUCCCUGUUCGGCCCGCGAGGACUGGGCGGGGGCCGCCCGCAGUCGGGGACCCUUCUGCGCCGCGAGGAGGCCGGCCCAGGUGACGGCGCGCGUGACCCCGGGCUCGGGGCCAGGAUCCGGGGCGGAGGGAGCCGGGCCCUCCUGGGGGUGGCGUGCGCCGCUGUCGCCCCCUCCCUCCCCGGGCUCCUGGGCCUGCCCGGGGAGCCUCCCCGCGUGGCCUCGAGUCCGGUGGCCUGCCCCGCGCCGCCCAGCGCGUGCCUGCGACCCCGGAUCGGGGAGGGCCCUGAGUUGACUCUUCUUUGGGACAAGUGUCGUAAAGCGCUCCGGAGAAUGACUGUCACCGGACAGACCGCCUCUGCACGACGUGAAGACUCGCUGUCGCUGUCGCUCGGGAGGAAGAAGGAGGGCUGCGGGAGCGAGCGCUGUCAGCAGCACAGGUGGCUCAGGUCCCAGGAAGCCAGUUGCAAACCAGAGUGUUGGGCUUGGGAAGAACCCAUCGUCCUUGGCCUGCAGGCCUGUGACUCCUAUGUUUCUGCUAGACAAACAGCAUGUGGAAGAACUUAGCUCCCCUCCUCCCGCCCCUGCGGCAGCUGCUCCCGGCUUUGUGGCGGCCGCGUUCCCGGCAGAGCGCUCCUCCGUGGUGUCCGCGCGUGCGGCGGGGAGCGCGCCCCGGCCGGGGCCCACCCGCGGGAGGCACCCCGACUCCUCGCUCGCCAGAAUGCACUGGCGAAGGAAGGUUUUCUGCAGUCUCUUGACAAUUACUUUUAGCCAACAAGAAAGAGAAGCACUGAAGAGUGUUUGUCUGGGGCCAUGUUGCGUAUCUUUCAGAAGAUCUUACUUCAGUGUGUGCACCCCCAGACAGCCCGACCAGCCCGCUAAUUCGGGGGGCACAUGUCCCGCGCACAGGCGUGCCUGUCCGCUCCCAGGAUCUCCUGCAGGCUGUGACACACCUGGUGUUGCUUAGGCAGGGAAGGGAGGAGGGUUUUAUUUUGUUUUCCCUUUUUAAGCACUGGAGAGAAUGCAGAAACAACAGUUUAACAAAUUGCAUUAAAAAUAAAAACAAAAUCAACUUCA